rnacentral:rRNA from 1 species
GACGAACGCUGGCGGCGUGCCUAACACAUGCAAGUCGAACGGGAUCCACGCCAUGAAGUUUUCGGAUGGAUUGGUGUGGUGAGAGUGGCGAACGGGCGAGUAACGCGUGAGCAACCUACCUCGUACUGGGGGAUAACGUCGGGAAACCGGCGCUAAUACCGCAUAAGACUACGAUGCCGCAUGGCAAUGUAGUCAAAGCUCCGGCGGUACGAGACGGGCUCGCGUCCGAUUAGCUAGUUGGUAGGGUAAUGGCCUACCAAGGCGACGAUCGGUAGCCGGACUGAGAGGUCGGCCGGCCGCAUUGGGACUGAGACACGGCCCAGACUCCUACGGGAGGCAGCAGUGGGGAAUAUUGCGCAAUGGGGGAAACCCUGACGCAGCGACGCCGCGUGAAGGAAGAAGGCCUUCGGGUUGUAAACUUCUUUGAUCGGGGACGAAGGAAGACGGUACCCGAGGAACAAGCCACGGCUAACUACGUG